rnacentral:rRNA from 1 species
UCACUUGCAGAUGGACCUGCGGCGCAUUAGCUAGUUGGUGGGGUAACGGCUCACCAAGGCGACGAUGCGUAGCCGACCUGAGAGGGUGAACGGCCACACUGGGACUGAGACACGGCCCAGACUCCUACGGGAGGCAGCAGUAGGGAAUCUUCCGCAAUGGACGAAAGUCUGACGGAGCAACGCCGCGUGAGUGAUGAAGGUUUUCGGAUCGUAAAGCUCUGUUGCCAGGGAAGAACGUUCGGUAGAGUAACUGCUACCGGAGUGACGGUACCUGAGAAGAAAGCCCCGGCUAACUACGUGCCAGCAGCCGCGGUAAUACGUAGGGGGCAAGCGUUGUCCGGAAUUAUUGGGCGUAAAGCGCGCGCAGGCGGCUAUUUAAGUCUGAUGUUUAAUCCUAAGGCUCAACCUUAGGUCGCAUUGGAAACUGGGUAGCUUGAGUGCAGAAGAGGAGAGUGGAAUUCCACGUGUAGCGGUGAAAUGCGUAGAGAU